AGAAGUAUGGUGACCAAAAAAAGCCGCUAACUUUUUAUUGUAAUGGUUAAAUUCCAUUUAUACUUCUC
rnacentral:tRNA from 1 species